AAAUUAUAAACAUUGUAGACAAUAUUGGCAAAUUUGACAAAUUCAGAAUUUUAUAAAAAAUGAUAUCUUGUAAAAUCUAACAAUUUCUAAUGUAAAACUUGACGCUAAUAUUAAACGAUUUUGUACAAUAAAUGUGUUCUUGUAUUUUUAAAAGUCACUUAUUUUAAUUGGUAUUAUACAUAACUUUAAGAAGAACAAAUCAAUAAUAAGUGACUUCUAAAUUACAAAAACAUUUUCAUUGUAUGUUCGGUGGGAGAGUUUUUAAUUUUAGGCUACAUAAUACAUGAAGACGAUAGUGUCAAAUAAUUUUAAAGUAGUAUCAUUCAAACAAUUAAAAAAAAUUGUACGUAAAUUUAAGUUUCUAUGAUUGUUACGGAAUAUUUUGACAAAUCCUGCGUUAAUCUUAUUGACAUUAUUAGUAUGGAUUAUAUAUCAAGAGAAAAUUUAUUAUCUCAUGGGAUUUUUGAGGCUCUUAGUUUGUAAUGUACUUUAUCCACAAAUUUCCAUAUUGCAUCUGUAGUUAAUGAAACAUGUGGUUUAAUCAAAUCGAAACCACAACCACGAAAUCCAGAAACUAGAGUUUCUCUACUUCUCGAAAAACCAUGACAUACAGAAGGACCAAUGGGUCCUUAUUAUUUUCCAACUGACCACUAUUUGUAUCAUUUUACUCUGUACAUAUCGCAAUUGCAAAAAUAAUAUCUUCUAAAUACAAAAAUCUUUUUAA